rfam:Camelus ferus unplaced genomic scaffold scaffold700, whole genome shotgun sequence.
GAGGGUAUAGCUCAGUGGUAGAGUGCGUGCUUAGCAUGCAUGAGGUCCUGGGUUCAAUCCCCAGUACCUCCA